UACGGAGGGGGCUAGCGUUAUUCGGAAUUACUGGGCGUAAAGCGCACGUAGGCGGCUUUGUAAGUAAGAGGUGAAAGCCCGGAGCUCAACUCCGGAACUGCCUUUUAGACUGCAUCGCUUGAAUCCAGGAGAGGUGAGUGGAAUUCCGAGUGUAGAGGUGAAAUUCGUAGAUAUUCGGAAGAACACCAGUGGCGAAGGCGGCUCACUGGACUGGUAUUGACGCUGAGGUGCGAAAGCGUGGGGAGCAAGCAGG
rnacentral:rRNA from 1 species